AACAUUUAUAAGAUAAACGGUGCCUUCUACUGCGAUGAGCGGUGCAGAAGGGUAAAAGGGAAACAGGUGAAAGGCCUGUACGAUCUCGUCACUGUAAUUGUCCAGCAUUAUCCAUGUGCCGUAAAAGGUGCAGUCACUGCUCAGGCGGGAAGGCGGAGAAAUGUGCUAUUGGGCAGAAGUCAGGAGACCUGCCGCUUAUUGGUACAGGGC
rnacentral:ncRNA from 2 species